AGAUGCUGAGGCGUGGUAUGUUGGUCACUUUCCUUGAAGUAGAUUUCGCCGCCUUACAGUGCACUAGGCUUGGAUGGCGUUCUACUCCUGAGAUACAACAGCCUCUCGUUCCUUCAACCUGAUGAUUUGCACAGAUCAAAGAAGGCUUCGAACCCAGAAUCAAUAUGCAGCAAGCCCGUUUAAAAAGAAUUUGGAAGAAAUAUUUUAACUGGUAGGAAGAGAGUAGAGAAAGGAAAAGAAUUUGGAAU
rnacentral:lncRNA from 1 species